rnacentral:rRNA from 1 species
UACGUAGGGGCGAGCGUUGUCCGGAAUUAUUGGGCGUAAAGGGCUCGUAGGCGGUUGUACAAGUCAAAGGUGAAAUCCCUCGGCUCAACUGAGGAACUGCCUUUGAAACUGUACGGCUUGAGGCCGGGAGGGGGUAGCGGAAUUCCCAAUGUAGCGGUGAAAUGCGUAGAUAUUGGGAGGAACACCAGUGGCGAAGGCGGCUACCUGGACCGGUUCUGACGCUGAGGCGCGAAAGCGUGGGUAGCAAACAGG